CUAGUACUUCCUCCGUCCGAAAAUAUUUGUUAUCAAAAUAAAUAAAGAAUGAUGUAUCUAAAACUAAAAUACAUUUAGAUACAUUCCCUUUUAUUCAUUUUGAUAACAAAUAUUUUCGGACGGAGAGAGUAGUAG
rnacentral:pre_miRNA from 1 species